AUACGAAGGGUGCAAGCGUUACUCGGAAUUACUGGGCGUAAAGCGUGCGUAGGUGGUUGUUUAAGUCUGUCGUGAAAGCCCUGGGCUCAACCUGGGAAUGGCGAUGGAAACUGGGCGACUAGAGUGUGGCAGAGGGUAGUGGAAUUCCUGGUGUAGCAGUGAAAUGCGUAGAGAUCAGGAGGAACAUCCGUGGCGAAGGCGACUGCCUGGGCCAACACUGACACUGAGGCACGAAAGCGUGGUGAGCAAACAGGAUUAGAUACCCUGGUAGUCCACGCCCUAAACGAUGCGAACUGGAUGUUGGGUGCAAUUUGGCACGCAGUAUCGAAGCUAACGCGUUAAGUUCGCCGCCUGGGGAGUACGGUCGCAAGACUGAAACUCAAAUGAAUUGACGUGG
rnacentral:rRNA from 1 species